UCCAGACUCCUACGGGAGGCAGCAGUGGGGGAUAUUGCACAAUGGGGGAAACCCUGAUGCAGCGACGCCGCGUGGGUGAAGAAGUAUUUCGGUAUGUAAAGCCCUAUCAGCAGGGAAGAAAGAAGACGGUACCUGACUAAGAAGCCCCGGCUAACUACGUGCCAGCAGCCGCGGUAAUACGUAGGGGGCGAGCGUUAUCCGGAUUCACUGGGUGUAAAGGGAGCGUAGACGGCCGUGCAAGCCAGGAGUGAAAGCCCGGGGCCCAACCCCGGGACUGCUCUUGGAACUGUGCGGCUGGAGUGCGGGAGGGGCAGGCGGAAUUCCUGGUGUAGCGGUGAAAUGCGUAGAUAUCAGGAGGAACACCGGCGGCGAAGGCGGCCUGCUGGACCGCGACUGACGUUGAGGCUCGAAAGCGUGGGGAGCGAACAGGAUUAGAUACCCUUGUAA
rnacentral:rRNA from 1 species